rnacentral:lncRNA from 1 species
UAUUUCAUGAAAAAUAGUGAUCUUAUCAUAGAGAAAUAUGGACAGCAAGGGAGGCUCAUGCAAAGAUAUUCAACAAAAAAAAAACAAAAAAAAAUGUCACAAACUUAAAGCUUAAAACAAUGUCUCAUGGUGAGGGUUUUAUGGACAAGCAUAGCAUAUCAUUAACAUAAAAAAACAUGAAGAAAAAAGGCAUGGCAUAAUGGAGAAGUAAGCAUGGUAAAGGCAUGAAUAAGUGUGACAAUGGCAUGAACAACAUGAUGAACAAGCAAAGUAUUCAUGGCCAUGGAAGGUUGGAAUAAAGAGAUUACCUAGUGGAGAAAGUCCACUACUUCUUGUUGGGAUGAGAGGAAAGAGAAGGA